AGGGAGCAGGAGAGAAAUAGAGAGAGGGUGACAGAACUAGAGAGCCAGAGCAUUAAAGCCUGGGAGAGGGAGCUCUCUGCUCUCGUAGACAGGGCUCCUUCCAGCAGGGGUAGGGUGGAGGGUGCUUGAGCCUGGCGGGAACAGGUGGGCAGGCCGCCCAUGCAAGAGGACCAACAGAACCCUGAGACGUAUUUUUGCUUGGAUUGGUUGCUUGCUUUUGGGGUGCGUUUCAUAGGGUCCUUUUGUUGGCUACUCCCUAUCUUCUUGGUGCAGUGGGCACCGAGAUUUGGAGAGUGCGUCCUUCCCUCUGGUGGGAGCCCUGGCGCAGAGCGUGCCGACCGGGCCGAGGCCUGGGUCUCUCUCGUGUCCUCAGGACUGGAGUUGACACGAAGACGGUGCCAAUGGGAAUCCGGGUGCACAGAGACGGAUUGCCUCGUGACUGGCGAAGGCAAUGUCCUUCCCCUGGGGAAAGCAGCCCAUAGGUCCAGGAGCAGAGGUUUUGGAUGGUGUCUGUGGGACCUCUGUCCCUGGCCGCCACUUCCCCCACCGGCUUGAACUAUUGCAUGGUGCCAGAUGAGUAAAUUGAAUUGCCUGGGCGUCCCGGGAGCGUGAAGACACGGGUCACCUCAGGGAACAUAUACCGUCCUGCCACGGCUGGAGCCGGGCACCUGGUGGGGCUGCAGCAAGAAGGAGGAUGUGGGAUGCUGUUGCCUGGCGGUGCUGCAGCGGUGGAACCCCACGAGGAGGUCCCGGGUUGCUUUGGGGCCGCAGGAUUUGUCGCUGAUGCCUUACUUCAUUCACUUUGUGAGGUCAUGUUUUCCUGGAUGGUGACAAUGCUAGCAGAUGUUCUUCAGUGUCUGGACAUUAAAACUUUGGCAUGCAGCACCACAUAAGAUGUGAAAAAAAGAUUUUUUUUAAAAAAAAGAUGAGCAUUAAUUGUAGACUUCACUGUGUGGGGUUAUUCGUAGCUAUCUUUCUUGGGAAGGAUUUCCACAUAUUUGAAAAGAACCCAGAGUUGAUCUCUGCACCACGCCAUCACUGCUGGUGGUGAGGAAAUGGUGCCUCUUUCAGUGAUAUGAAGUUAAAACCAGGAGGGAAGAUCAGUGGAGCCUUCUUUCUGCCAUCUUGUGUUACCUUUGCAGCCAAGAAUCAGAAUGAAGAACUUUCAAUAAGAAAAGCUUUCAGAACCAGGAAGGACGUAGAAGAUGUCCUGGUUCUGUACGUUUAACAUUGGACUGUUUCUUCAACUUAGGUGCAUAACAGUGACUAAUCAGGGAUUAUCAUAGAUAAUUUGACUUGGAAUAUAGAGUUCAUUCAAAUACUUUAUCUAGACAAUUUAAGUACUGGCUGAUUUGGCAUGAAAAUCUGACAAACUAUUUUCUUGGUAUUCAAUUGAUUUUUACUCUGUUUGCUGUAGUAGUUUUAUAAACCAAUCAGUCUUCAUUAAAGUUCUGGGAAUUCUUACCCUGUUCAAAUGAUAUGAUUCUAACGUUGUCAAAAAUCUGUAUUCAAGAAUACUUCUCAGGACCUUUUCCAUCCUUUCAUGAAACUCCUUAAAGAUACAGUAUUCUAUAAUUUUGCAAGCUUGUAAAGUUUUCAGAAUUUGAAAUGCCUCACAAUUAAGCAAUUUACUGUAGAAAUGAUUUUAAAUUUUCAUAGACACAGUUGACAAGAAAAUUUUAUUAUUUACAGGAGUGACCCACCACACCAGGCCUCUGAAGUUCAUUUAAUAAAAUUUUAUAAAUAAAUUUA
rnacentral:lncRNA from 1 species